GAGUUUGAUCAUGGCUCAGAUUGAACGCUGGCGGCAUGCUUUACACAUGCAAGUCGAACGGUAACAGGGAGCUUGCUCCGCUGACGAGUGGCGAACGGGUGAGUAAUGCGUCGGAACGUGCCGAGUAGUGGGGGAUAACGCAUCGAAAGGUGUGCUAAUACCGCAUACGAACUGAGGUUGAAAGUGGGGGACCUUCGGGCCUCACGCUAUUCGAGCGGCCGACGUCUGAUUAGCUAGUUGGUAGGGUAAAGGCCUACCAAGGCGAAGAUCCUUAACUGGUCUGAGAGGACGACCAGUCACACUGGGACUGAGACACGGCCCAGACUCCUACGGGAGGCAGCAGUGGGGAAUAUUGGACCAUGGGCGCAAGCCUGAUCCAGCAAUACCGCGUGUGUGAAGACGGCCUUCGGGUUGUAAAGCACUUUCAGGGGGGAAAGAAGGGG
rnacentral:rRNA from 1 species